AAAUAACACGUAAAAAAACAAAAAAACUGCAUAGUUUCCUAGGAACGCGAAGCGAGGCGGCCAUCUCUGUCGGCGCCGGAAUACAGAUAGAGUACAGAUAAAACUAAGAGUGACAUGCGCACACACAUGGAAAAAUGUCAACAGAUGAGUAAUAUUGUGUGUGUGUGUGGUGUGUUGUGUGUGUAUAGGUGUGCCAUCUCUCUCUCACCUCUGCAGGCUGCGGUCAGGGAAGAGUUAGGUUCCGUGGUUCUGAUGCAGACAGCUGUGGUCCGACAGCUUCCUCUUCCCCCUCCACUGCAGAUUACCUCCAGUUCAGAGACAUCCCACCACCCUCGCACGCAACAACAGUCCCACAGGGAGGGUUUCCACAGCGACUAUAACGAUGACAUACAGGGCUUCAUAUAACCUGCCACUGAAGUGUCCUCAAUCAAAAAUACCCACACACCCAGUUCCCUAUGCACACACCCAGUUCCCUAUGCCACCCACCCCAGUUCCCUAUGCACACACCCAGUUCCGAUCCCACACCCGUUCCGAUGCACACCCCAGUUCCCGAUGCACACACCCAGUUCCCGAUGCACACACCCAGUUCCCUAUGCACACACCCAGUUCCCGAUGCACACACCCAGUUCCCGAUGCACACACCCAGUUCCCGAUGCACACACCCAGUUCCCGAUGCCACACCCCAGUUCCCGAUGCACACACCAGUUCCCGAUGCACCCAUCUGCACACACCUGUUCUAUGUUUCUGUUCUGUUGAUGUGUGUUUUGGAAUAGAUCAGCUCUAUUGUAACACUGAUGUGGUGAAAAUGAAUAUUUUUGUAUCCUUUGUAGAAUUGCCUGUUGUUUGUUUUGAUUAUUGUUAAUUAAAACAAAGUAUCAAGCUGUUUUGGGGUAAACUUUUAUUUUAUAUUAUAAUAAUAAAAAAGCUCAGUUCCAUUGUGGUUUUAGUUUGUAAAAACAUAUUUUUCUGUUCAAAUACCUGUUUGUUUUUUUCUUACCUCACUCCCACAAUCCUCUAACCCUAACCUUCACAAUCAGUUAUUUUUUAUCUACACCGGUCUAAUACCAUGUUAGCACCUGGUAUUACGGUAAUGUUCCAGUGUUCGCAGAGAUUACAUUCAUGGUAAACGCUGCAUUGUCGACGCAAUCAAAUGGCUUCUAACCCGUGAUGGAUUGAAUCCGGCCUUAUUCAGUUUGGCACGAUGUUAAGCACACUGCCGAUAGAAAUGCAAGGUGUACACAACCCUCUACUCCACAUGAUAGAGAAACAUGUCCAUUUCCAUCUGACGUGCCCUGCUGCAUCCUAUUACUACUGGACCAUGUCAGGUGUCAGGACCUUGUUCCAACUGGAUCCACAAUGACCCAACUUGUAUCUGAAACAGGGAUGUCUCUGCAUUGUCUGUUUGGGCCCUCCAAGACCUAUACCAGGCAACAGACAGUGACUACUCCAGGCCUCCAAGACCUAUACUUGACAACAGACAGUGAUUACUCCAGGGCCCUCCAAGACCUAUCCUUGACAACAGACAGUGAUUACUCCAGGGCCCUCCCAGACCUAUACCAGGCAAACACAGUGACUACUCCAGGGCCUUCCAAGACCUAUACUUGACAACAGACAGUGAUUACUCACAGGCCCUCCAAGACCUAUACUUGACACAGACAGUGACUACUCCAGGGCCCUCCAAAACCUAUCCUUGACAACAGACAGUGAUUACUCCAGGGCCCUCCAAGACCUAUACCAGGCAACAGACAGUGACUACUCCAGGGCCUUCCAAGACCUAUACCAGGCAACAGACAGUGAUUACUCCAGGCCUCCAAGACUAUACCAGGCAAAC
rnacentral:lncRNA from 1 species